UUCCUAAGAGUUGAAUUCAGUUCAGGGCAGCUUCUCUGUCUGUUCUUUAAACUUUGGGACAAUCGAAUGGACUAGGGGAGAUGAUUGAAUAGAAAAUAUUACUCUAUUCUGGGACCAGCAGAUGGCGUAC
ensembl:snoRNA